GGGCUCGUAGCUCAGUCUGGUUAGAGCACCGGCCUUUUAAGCCGGGAGUCGGGGGUUCAAAUCCCCUCGAGCCCG
rnacentral:tRNA from 1 species